CCUUCCCCCUGGCAGAGCUGUUUGAGUAUGGAGUAAGGUCUGAAGGUUAAGUGUAACAAUUCUGGACUUCCUGGGUAAGAUGGCUGCAGAAUAGCAGGAAUGGCCUGAUUCUCCUCACAACCAAUUACUACAAAGUGUCUCAAAAGGACAAAAAUUAGAAUCAGAUGAGUGAAGGGGCUCUCCCACUGGAUGCAGGUUCGAAGUCUCCAGUUUCUGCUGUGUCCCAGGAGACCAUCUGAUCCAAUCUGAGUAUGUUUUAAGGCAUUUUUCAUGCUUCUACCAGUCAACAUUAGACAGGAAUGGGAAUGAAUGGAAUUAUGAAAGCAUUUGCAAAAUAAAAUCAUGUUUGCCUCUGUGUGAAA